UCUUAAGGUAGCCAAAUGCCU
rnacentral:siRNA from 1 species